rnacentral:rRNA from 1 species
UACAGAGGGUGCUAGCGUUGUUCGGAAUUAUUGGGCGUAAAGGGCGCGUAGGCGGCCCUGUGUGUCGGGUGUGAAAGCCCACCUCUUAAAGGUGGAAUUGCAUUCGAAACUACAGGGCUGGAGUGUCGGAGAGGAUGGCGGAAUUCCUGGUGUAGAGGUGAAAUUCGUAGAUAUCAGGAGGAACACCGGUGGCGAAGGCGGCCAUCUGGACGACAAUUGACGCUGAGGCGCGAAAGCGUGGGGAUCAAACAGG